UACGAAGGGGGCUAGCGUUGCUCGGAAUCACUGGGCGUAAAGGGUGCGUAGGCGGGUUUUUAAGUCAGGGGUGAAAUCCUGGAGCUCAACUCCAGAACUGCCUUUGAUACUGAAGAUCUUGAGUCCGGGAGAGGUGAGUGGAACUGCGAGUGUAGAGGUGAAAUUCGUAGAUAUUCGCAAGAACACCAGUGGCGAAGGCGGCUCACUGGCUCGAUACUGACGCUGAGGUGCGAAAGCGUGGGGAGCAAACAGG
rnacentral:rRNA from 1 species